AGAGUUUGAUCCUGGCUCAGAUUGAACGCUGGCGGCAUGCCUAACACAUGCAAGUCGAACGGCAGCACAGAGGAGCUUGCUCCUUGGGUGGCGAGUGGCGGACGGGUGAGUAAUGCAUCGGGAUCUACCCUGACGUGGGGGAUAACCUCGGGAAACCGGGACUAAUACCGCAUACGUCCUACGGGAGAAAGCGGGGGACCUUCGGGCCUCGCGCGGCAGGACGAACCGAUGUGCGAUUAGCUAGUUGGCGGGGUAAUGGCCCACCAAGGCGACGAUCGCUAGCUGGUCUGAGAGGAUGAUCAGCCACACUGGGACUGAGACACGGCCCAGACUCCUACGGGAGGCAGCAGUGGGGAAUAUUGGACAAUGGGCGCAAGCCUGAUCCAGCAAUGCCGCGUGUGUGAAGAAGGCCUUC
rnacentral:rRNA from 1 species